rnacentral:rRNA from 1 species
AAUCAACGCUGGCGGCGUGCCUAACACAUGCAAGUCGAACGCGAAAGCCCGCAAGGGUAAGUAGAGUGGCGCACGGGUGAGUAACACGUGGAUAAUCUGCCUUCGGGUCCAGGAUAACCUUCCGAAAGGAGGGCUAAUACUGGGUAAGCCCACGGGGACCUCGGUCCUUGAGGGAAAAGGUGGCCUCUGUAUACAAGCUAUCGCCUGGAGAUGAGUCCGCGGCCCAUCAGCUAGNGGCGGGGUAACGGCCCACCAAGGCUUUGACCGGGUAGCUGGUCUGAGAGGACGAUCAGCCACACUGGAACUGAGACACGGGUCCAGACUCCUACGGGAGGCAGCAGUGGGGAAUCUUGCACAAUGGGCGAAAGCCUGAUGCAGCGACGCCGCGUGUGUGAUGAAGGUCUUCGGAUCGUAAAG